rnacentral:rRNA from 1 species
AGUGAACGCUGGCGGUAGGCCUAAUACAUGCAAGUCGAACGAAACUUCAGUAAGAGCUUGCUCUUACAGGUGGCGAGUAGCGGAUGGGUGAGGAAUACAUGGGAAUCAACUUUUUCGUGGGGGCUAACGUAGGGAAACUCACGCUAAUACAGCUUCUGAUCUACGGGAGCAAGCAGGACAUCUUCGGACCUUGCGCGAUUGUAUGAGUCGUUGUCGGAUUAGCUAGUUGGCAGGGUAAAGGCCUACCAAGGCGACGAUCCGUAGCUGAUCUGAGAGGUUGAUCGGCCACACUGGGACUGAGACACGGUCCAGACUCCUACGGGAGGCAGCAGUGGGGAAUAUUCGACAAUGGGCGCAAGCCUGAUCCAGCAAUGCCGCGUGGGUGAAGAAGGCCUUCGGGUUGUAAAGCCCUUUUGUUAGAGAAGAAAAUCAGCAAGUUAAUCCCCCGCUGUUCUGACGGUACCCAAACGGUAAGCACCGGCUAACUUCGUG